rnacentral:rRNA from 1 species
GACGAACGCUGGCGGCGUGCCUAAUACAUGCAAGUAGAACGCACAGUUUAUACCGUAGCUUGCUACACCAUAGACUGUGAGUUGCGAACGGGUGAGUAACGCGUAGGUAACCUGCCUGGUAGCGGGGGAUAACUAUUGGAAACGAUAGCUAAUACCGCAUAAUAUUAAUUAUUGCAUGAUAAUUAAUUGAAAGGUGCAAUUGCACCACUACCAGAUGGACCUGCGUUGUAUUAGCUAGUAGGUGAGGUAACGGCUCACCUAGGCGACGAUACAUAGCCGACCUGAGAGGGUGAUCGGCCACACUGGGACUGAGACACGGCCCAGACUCCUACGGGAGGCAGCAGUAGGGAAUCUUCGGCAAUGGACGAAAGUCUGACCGAGCAACGCCGCGUGAGUGAAGAAGGUUUUCGGAUCGUAAAGCUCUGUUGUAAGAGAAGAACGGGUGUGAGAGUGGAAAGUUCACACUGCGACGGUAUCCUACCAGAAAGGGACGGCUAACUACGUG